CUUCGGGUUGUAAAGCUCUUUCACAAGGGAAGAAACGAUGCAGUCGAAUAAACUGUGUUAAUGACGGUACCUUGAUAAGAAGCACCGGCUAACUACGUGCCAGCAGCCGCGGUAAUACGUAGGGUGCGAGCGUUAAUCGGAAUUACUGGGCGUAAAGCGUGCGCAGGCGGUUUUGAAAGUCAGAUGUGAAAUCCCCGGGCUCAACCUGGGAACUGCGUUUGAAACUCCAAAGCUAGAGUAUAGGAGAGGGGGGUAGAAUUCCACGUGUAGCAGUGAAAUGCGUAGAGAUGUGGAGGAAUACCAAUGGCGAAGGCAGCCCCCUGGCUUAAUACUGACGCUCAUGCACGAAAGCGUGGGGAGCAAACAGGAUUAGAUACCCUGGUAGUCCACGCCCUAAACGAUGUCUACUAGUUGUUGGGAGAGUAAAAUCUCUUAGUAACGCAGCUAACGCGUGAAGUAGACCGCCUGGGGAGUACGGUCGCAAGAUUAAAACUCAUAGGACUUGACGGGGGCCCGCACAAGCGGUGGAUUAUGUGGAUUAUU
rnacentral:rRNA from 1 species